CCCUUGGGAUCCCAUUCUAUUGUACCCUUCUAUGCUUUUAUAUCUGAAGGAUCCUCAGCGGGUCCUUUCCCACUCUCCUCUCCUCUUCUCCCCUUCUAUAAUUUCCUCUCCUCGAACCAUGAAGUGGCUUGCGGGGCAGAGAGAGCCACAUUUUCAUCCUCGGGACUCCGUCCUCGGAUCGACCUCUUCUUCCUUCCGUCAAAAACAAGCCAACAGCCCAAGGGCGCCAGGUCGUUCUGUCGAAAGAUUCGUGGGUGGCUUCGGUUGAGCAGCCGCCCACCUGGAAGGCCUCCUCUGUGGAGCAGGUCGCGCCUGUCUCCAGAUACGGAAACAGCCGCCUUGCGAGUCGCCAAACCGGUCCGUCGAGAAUCUGUCCUCGUAUUAUUUGGCAGCCGAAAGCGCUCACCGCUCCACGGGCAAAAAGACGCCGGCGAACUCCGAGACGCUCAGCCGCACCCACCGGUGGGGUGCGCGGACCCCCGAACCGGCCCCCGAGGAUCGCCAGGGGCCGCCUGGCGCAGCUCUCUGACCUCGAACCCGGAGCCUCGACGCCGCCAAACGGAGCGAAGCCUGGCCUGGAGCGGCGGAGUCGCGGGCCCCGGGCCUGGUUCGCCCGCAGAGAUUUCGAGCACCAGCCCCAACGGUUCGGAGGGGUUCGCCGCACCGGAGGAAGGAGAGGGCGGCCCGCGGGGCACCGGCACCCUUUGCCAGGCCCAGGAGGGAGCGCCGGGGGAAGAUGACACCGCUGUCGCCUCGACAACACGGCAAGGAGACCGGGUGGUGCCCGAAGACGCGGCGACGAGUGGCGACGAGGAGGAUGGCGCGUCCAGAAAGUCCCCAGGGCUCCCCGGGGACGCGCUUGAGCCCGAGCGGGUGGCGUCUGUGUCUGAAGGGGAGUUCGACUGCAUUCUCCCUGCGCCCGGUGGACCGGAGGAUGCGAAGGGCGCGGCGGGAACGGGCGAGAACGAGCCUCCUUCGGCGCAGCCCCGCGCGUCCCCCGACGGAGAGGAGGAUGCGGAGUGCCCGAUCUGCACAGAGUUUUACGACGGCGACGUCCACCGCCCGUCGCGCCUGAACUGCGGCCACGAGCUGUGCGCGCGCUGCCUGGGCGCUGUCCUGGAGGCGUCGGGCGCCGCCGAAAUCGGCCGCGCGCGCUGCCCGCUGUGCCGCCAGAAGACGCCGGUGAUGGAGUGGGAAAUCCGGAAGCUGCAGGAAGAGAUGCUCUUGCUCGAGUCGCCGCAAGAAGCGGCGGCCGGGCGCGCGGAAUACGAGCCCUUGCCCGAACGCCGGCCCGGCGCCUGGGGCCGCCUGGAGCACCGCUUCCAGAUGCGCUUCCGCGCCAGCCGCCCCGGGCACGGCGCCCUGCCCUGCCUGCGCUACCCGCUCGGGAUGGUGCAGGGGCUGGAGCGGCUGGAGCGGCGCAGCCGCUGGCUCUACCGGUUGGUCCUGCUGGGGCUGCUGGCCGCCGAGACGCUCAGCCUAUUGGUCUUCUUCCUGCCGCUGCUGGUGGUCUUUCUGCUCUUCGCCAUCCUGGAGAGGUGGCGGUGA
rnacentral:lncRNA from 1 species